AGGCCUACCUUGACUCUUGACCUUGAUAAAUGACUUAAGAGGUGUUAAAAAAGUGGAAGUCUCAUCAAGUGAAAUACCAUAAUUUUUAAGUUUUAAUUUAUUUUACUUACUCCAUGAGUCGGAAACUAGGUAUUGCCCCUCUUUUCAAACCUAAUGUCUACUUUGUGGAUCAAUCCGAGAGGAGAACCUUAUCAUGGUUGGUUAGCUGCUACGAUAUGUCUGUCAAAAGAUAACACAAGUCGUUGAUAAGAUCGAAGAUAACGUAUGUAUCAUGUGCUUCAACAAUAUAAAAGCUCGUUUGAUUCCGAUUUCAUACGAACGUGAAAAUAUGCCUACAAUCCCUAGAUCUUCUAAAAUGAAGUUAGAGGUGUCAAAAUGAUUGCCACAUAAAAGAAACUGGUUUGCAUUAGCCAAGCUAAUCAUAAAUAAUAACUUGCUUUUUUAUCCUCUGAUGUGGGUUCCUCCUCUCAUUAUAAAGCCAAAUUCACCCAAUAAUGGAACAUUCACCCACCCGUGAGUUAGGAUAAGACCAUCACGAGUGAGUUUAGUU
rfam:Beta vulgaris subsp. vulgaris Bvchr8.sca002.con0128.1, whole genome shotgun sequence.